rnacentral:rRNA from 1 species
UACGUAGGGGGCGAGCGUUGUCCGGAAUCAUUGGGCGUAAAGAGCGUGUAGGCGGCUUGGCAAGUCUGACGUGAAAUCCCGCGGCUCAACCGCGGUAGGUCGUUGGAAACUGCCUCGCUAGAGUCCGGAAGAGGAGAGCGGAAUUCCUGGUGUAGCGGUGGAAUGCGCAGAUAUCAGGAAGAACACCCGUGGCGAAGGCGGCUCUCUGGGACGGUACUGACGCUGAGACGCGAAAGCGUGGGGAGCAAACAGG